AUUCAUGCAGUCCCUGGACAUUUGACUCUCCAAUAUUCUACUCUACCUUCUUCCAUUUAUAUCUUUUCUCAAUUUCAUUCUCCCUGGCUCUCAAAAUCCACAUUAUUGGACGACUGGUUCUGGCAAUUACAAAAGAAAAAUAUAACAGGUGGUGGUGGUGAAGAUUUGAAUCACCUCGACGACUUAAUUAGUUAAUGGAUCCUCGUGGAAUGAUAUUUAUGAUCAUGCAACGUUGUGGAGAGGGAGGAACCAAGAAAAUAGAAAGAACACUCGCAUUACAAAAGUAAAAGUGUCUUAGGUGACUGUAGCACGCACAUUAUACCUACCAUAUGCGAAUCUUGCAUCACGUACGAGUUUUCAGAUGGUAUGUCGCUCGUUCGAGAAGCAUGACGACCACCCGAAUAUAGUUCAAGGAAUCACCGAGAUCUAAUCGACCUACCGUGCAAUUCCGUGUCGUGUGAACACGGCUAAAUAUUUAUGAACGAUUUACCCUAUCGCUGCAGGUGACGGAAUAAAAAGCACGUGUAAAUAUAUCGCACCGCUUCCUUGAACUCUAUCGAUCACGUUACCAAGUAUCGAACUUGGAUUGAAGACGAUAAUAACGUGUUUCUUUGUUGAUUAACUGGCGCAGCUAAGGAAAAAUCGAUACCCAAGGAGUCGUUAAUCGAUCGCAAGGAGACGUCGACCAGACGAUGAGGGAACGAUGCACGGCAUUUCACGCUUGGCAGUUGAAAUGGAAAAAAUUCUAGGUCGACAAAAUGUGUACCAAUUGGAAAAAGACGAAAAAAAAAAAUGCGAUGCGUUUUCAUGAAGACAGAUGAUGCGAUAGGAUCGAAAAAAAAAAUAAAUGCACAAUUGCGAAGGCUACCUGGAUGAGAAAGAAAUACAGGAGGAGAACAGCUGAUAGAGAUAUAAAGAGAGAAAAGUGAAAGAGAAAAAUAUACGUAAUCGAGGAGAAAAUAACGACGAUGUUGAGGACCCAGCGUUUAGGAAGAAGUCACCGAACGUCAGAGUUUCAGAGGACCUGUCGAACGAAAGAAGCCCUCGAGACUGCGAUUCGCGCGUCUAGAGGAAAUAGAAAACUAUGUUUUAGCGUCUCUAUCUAAGCUUUGGUAACCUUUCUGGGAUCUCGAGGGGCUUCCUUUCGUCGGAUCGAGAUCGGUCACUGCGAACAAGCGAGCAAACGAUUCACUGUGAACAGAGGGUAUAUGAGAGAUUUUAUUGCGACGACGAAUAUAACUGUGCUUUUCAAACAAAAAGACAAUGCAAUGUUGUUGUGCAGGCAUCGCGCACAAAGGGGUUACUGCAAAAACCAAUGGGGUUAUAAAUGAGACGGUAUGUUAAACGAAAUAUUGAACAAAAUACUGGUAAUAAAAAGAUUAACAUCCUUUUUGCAACAACCCCGUGAUAAAUGACCGACAGUGAAAUUUUGAGAGAUCUGUCCAUUUCUUGGCGUUUAAUCCUCUCAUGUGAAACGAUUCUUGCUUCUUCCAUCGCGCCGGAAUCCCAAAAACGACACGUAACACG
rnacentral:lncRNA from 1 species